GACGAACGCUGGCGGCGUGCCUAAUACAUGCAAGUUGAGCGAUGAAGAUUGGUGCUUGCACCAAUUUGAAGAGCAGCGAACGGGUGAGUAACGCGUGGGGAAUCUGCCUUUGAGCGGGGGACAACAUUUGGAAACGAAUGCUAAUACCGCAUAACAACUUUAAACAUAAGUUUUAAGUUUGAAAGAUGCAAUUGCAUCACUCAAAGAUGAUCCCGCGUUGUAUUAGCUAGUUGGUGAGGUAAAGGCUCACCAAGGCGAUGAUACAUAGCCGACCUGAGGGGGUGAUCGGCCACAUUGGGACUGAGACACGGCCCAAACUCCUACGGGAGGCAGCAGUAGGGAAUCUUCGGCAAUGGACGAAAGUCUGACCGAGCAACGCCGCGUGAGUGAAGAAGGUUUUCGGAUCGUAAAACUCGGUUGGUAGAGAAGAACGUUGGUGAGAGUGGAAAGCUCAUCAAGUGACGGUAACUACCCAGAAAGGGACGGCUAACUACGUG
rnacentral:rRNA from 1 species